GGCGAUCACGCAGAGUAGGAACAAAAGCCGUCUGUUAUGAAAGGACCAACGAGUGAAGCUGCAGUGUUUGGGUUUCUGGCCACGUUCGCCGAUGCCGCUUGAGUGGAGGGGAGAAACAACAGAUUCCCAUCGCUCUCUCGUGGUCUAGGCUGGGGAGAAUACUGCGUGUGACUCCAUUUAGUACAAUAACCUUAUUUAUCUCUCUUGCCAUUCAAGCACAAGUCAUCUUUUUGGCGAACAUUUUAGUAUGAUAAACUUCAUUGAUUAAUUUGAUGAGCAAUAUAAACUUUUGAGAUAUCUUUAACAUGAACCAAAGCGGAUAUCUGGUACUAUUUUGGAUUAUAAAGAUACCCAUUGAAGAAGAAAAGAAAAAGUGAUUGUACAUACUGGAAGGUGCACCUGUCCGAAAACAAGAUGGCGUCUCAUGUUACCUUGACGUCUCAGAUACCAGGGACUGGGAGGAGGAGGGCCCAGGUCAAACCUACAAGGAUCAACCACCAAAUUACAGAUGGAGGAUGAGAAAAAGAAAGAGAGUGGGUGGAUGGAGUGAAGGAUGAAGGCUGAGUAGACAACUGAACAGAGACAGGCCCUAUGCGGCAGUUCAUUCGUUCAUCGCCAUGGGCUCUUGUCCUCCUCUCUCCUCCCCUGGUCUAUACUCCCAUCACAGGGUCGUUUGGAGUGUGUGAGGCCCAAAAACAGAGCUUGUGAGUGGGCUGGCGAUGCAGGAAGAAGUCCCUGCUGGUUACCAGCACCUCUGGAGCUGACGGCAAAAUAAAUCAAUAUGGAGAAGAGAAUGUUACCCCACAGCCUAGAGGCCUGAAGACCUCCAGAGGAGAGGCCCAUCUCAACCUUGCUCAGCCGCAGCCAAAGUUCCUGAGACUGGGCCUGGGUCCCUACCGGCUCUUGGUGUGUGUGGUUCUGCUGCUGGAGGGGGCCUCCCAACAAACAACACAUGAUACACGCUCUCCUGAGUUAUUGUUUCUUUUUUUGAAAGAAUGCUUAAGGGGAUAUCCCUCUCUCUUUAUUUUUGUUUUCUUAAAAAUAAGAUUGACAUACUCCCCUACCUUCCCUGUGUUGCUGUGUGUAAAUGCUGGCAGAGGGGUUCACAUUUUGAUUCAGACUUCAAAUCCACUCACUGCUUAUUCCCUGGGACACUUUUACAUUUGACAAAGAGACAGUUUACUCUGGUGUGCUGCCUCCAAAGCAGUAUACAAACAACAACAACCACUAAAAUUGACAUUUUUUUCAAACUUGUGUUUAUUAGGAUCUUUAUUGUUAAAUUCCAAUCUUUUUUUAUUUGGCAUGAUCAAAGACCAUAGAACGAAAGACUAAAACCCAGUCCCAGUUAAACCCAGGCCCAGUAAAACCCAUGUCAGACCUCUAAUCAACACAGUUCCUUCAUUCUGACCAGCUAGAAAAAAGGGACAGAAAGGAUCCUGGUCAACACAAGACAACAAAAAGGAUCCUGGACAACACAAGACAACGAAAAGGAUCCUGGACAACACAAGACCACGAAAAGGAUCCUGGACAACACAAGACAACGAAAAGGAUCCUGGACAACACAAGACCACGAAAAGGAUCCUGGACAACACAAGACAACGAAAAGGAUCCUGGACAACACAAGACCACGAAAAGGAUCCUGGACAACACAAGACAACGAAAAGGAUCCUGGACAACACAAGACCACGAAAAGGAUCCUGGACAACACAAGACCACGAAAAGGAUCCUGGACAACACAAGACAACGAAAAGGAUCCUGGACAACACAAGA